GAGAAAAAUAUAAUUAUUCAUUACUUAAAAACAAACCUGGUACACCAUAUUUAUUUUUUAAACAUUUUAUUUUUGGCGGUAAAUCCCAAAUUUUUCCCUCUGUAUUUUCAAUUUCCCUCUCUACCAAAUCCUCACCCCUAAAUUUCACAGAGAAAUCACCUUUUCCCGAAUUCUAUCGCUUAAUGUGCCUUCUAUCUCAUAAUUAGCACUCUCUCUCUCGUCUUCUUCCCCAAAUCAACCUCUCUCUUAGCUUUCUCUCACAACCUCAGCUCACCGACUCUCCCUAUCCUCAACCAGACUCAACCCAACCCUAACCUCUGCUUCACACCCAACGACGACGGUGGCCCAACCCCUUCUCUUGGUGAGACCCAGAGCCCCCUCUCACCCUCUCUCCUCAGUUUUUUCUCCAAUCUCUCUGUUUGAUCAAUGCAGCCACCUAAUCGGUCGUCGAAGGCCAAGCCUGCCCCUCUCAUUCAGGUAUACAUUAAUUUUUAUCGCUAUUGUAUUGUCUAUGGCUGUUAUAAUCGUUGUGGCAGGGCCGAAUUAUUUAUUUCUGUAUAUAUCUUUAAGAUUUGUAAGUAUCUAUUUGGUCUUAGCUUAUAAUUUAUUUUAUUGUUAUUUUUAUUUAAAAUGAAAAUUAUUAAUAAAUCUUGUGGUAACAUCAGAGAAUGAAAUCAAAUUUAUCAAUUCAGAAAAAAUAAAAUUAGUUUACUAUUGUUUUGGCAUAUAUCUUUUCGGGUGGUAUUAUCUGAAGAGUAAUUUACUCUUUUAACUGAAUAAUUAAAGAAAAAUUUACUUUGUCAGUUUGACAGUCAUUUUCUUUAAAUAUGUGCAUUGACAUUUCAAACAUUCCAUUCAAGUGUUUCUAUUUUCUUUGAAGAUGGGUGAUAAGGUUUUAUUUUCAGUAAUGAAAAGGAAAUUUAGAUUUGGUAUUUGUGUGUAUGUACUUAGUAGUUGCGGUCACGUUAAGCGAAUAUAUAAUUAUUUGAUAGUUUUUAUUCAAUUACAGUUGCUUUGAUUGUGAAUAAAUUUGUAUCUUUGCCUCCUAUUCCAACAGCUUGUACUCCCUAGAAUUCAGAUUAUUAUGCUUUUACGUUAUGUAAAACGUUUGAUAUUUUGAUUCAUUUCUUUGAAACAAAAGUAAAAGAUUUGUUCCUUUUGGCCACAGUUGUUUUAUUUGAAAAAGGAAAAGACAUUGUAUAUUGUGGCGUUAAAAUUUCCUAAGUUUGUUCAUGAGAAGAUGAUGUUUUGGCCAUCACUUUCCUGUUACCUAUUAUCGUUUUAGGUUUGUAGUUCUGUUGUGUUAUAAAUUCAAAAUUCAAAAUUGUAACAUUGUCUUUACUCGCUACUCUUUACUAAAUUGUGAGUGUGUUUUAUAUUUGCAUGUUUUAUGCUAAUGGUUUUUGUUGUAAUUUCAUUGACAUUGGAACUACUGAACAUUUACAUACCUUGCUUUGAAGUCUUACUGAACCUAGAUUAUCUGUUUCAAAAUUUCUAAUUGCUGAGUGGUAUUGCUUUUAUUGUGAUAUUCAACAUAUGCUGCUGCAACCUCAGCUCUCGCCACUCUCUUCCAGGUGUAUGCUGCACAACUUUGCAGGAAAUAUUGAGAUGUAUGGGAUUUUAGAUGCAAUAGCUUCUAGAUCUAUUGAUGCUCGCACAAGUGAAAACUCAACCAUGGCAAGUCUUUUUAUAAUUGAUCGGCUUUUCUUUCAUACCACAAGGUUGCAGUCACAUCAUUGUCAUUAGCCAUUAUACCUUUCCGAGAGAUAUAAUUAAUCUGAAUUUUCUAAAAUAGAUGUGGUAUUAAAAUCUCUAUGAACAUUACUUGAGUAGAUGCUUGCUACCAUAUUUAAAUAAUUUUUGUUCUCGAAUCUUUUCUUUUGAAUUAUGUGAUAUGAAUCAUGUAUUUGGUCCAUACUCUCUUUUAGGUUGGUGUUGGAAUGUCAAUGGAAGGCAUAGAGCAGAAUCCUAUUGUUUACGAUCUCAUGUCUGAAAUGGCUUUCCUACACAAGAAAGUUGAUGUCAAGGAAAUUAUGACAUAGUACAACAGCCAAAGAAUGUUAGUGACUUGGCAAGGAAAAAUGUUCCUUUCUACAUGUUUAUUGAUGAAGAGACAGAAACUUAUUUGAAAAUUUUCAGUGUCUUAGAAAGUGGUAAUCGGAUUGGAUUGUGGAGAAUAUUGUAGUUCAUAAUAUUCCAUACAAUGAUUCAAGACGUAAUGGAAAGAUACCAAAGCUUCUACUGCACAGGAUUUUCCCUAAUGUUCGAUAUUCCAUAUGGAUUGAUGGAAAGCUCGAGCUUGUAGUAGAUCCUUAUCAAAUUCUUGAGAGGUAAAACUUUCUCUUUUGUAUCCUUUAAAUUCUUGUGGGGGUGGUGU